AUUGAACGCUGGCGGCAUGCCUUACACAUGCAAGUCGAACGGUAACGCGGGGCAACCUGGCGACGAGUGGCGAACGGGAGAGUAAUACAUCGGAACGUACCCAGUAAUGGGGGAUAGCCCGGCGAAAGCCGGAUUAAUACCGCAUACGACCUAAGGGUGAAAGAGGGGGAUCGCAAGACCUCUCGUUAUUGGAGCGGCCGAUGGCAGAUUAGGUAGUUGGUGGGGUAAAGGCCUACCAAGCCGACGAUCUGUAGCUGGUCUGAGAGGACGACCAGCCACACUGGGACUGGGACACGGCCCAGACUCCUACGGGAGGCAGCAGUGGGGAAUUUUGGACAAUGGACGCAAGUCUGAUCCAGCAAUGCCGCGUGCGGGAAGAAGGCCUUCGGGUUGUAAACCGCUUUUGUCAGGGAAGAAAUCUUCUGGGUUAAUACCUCGGGAGGAUGACGGUACCUGAAGAAUAAGCACCGGCUAACUACGUGCCAGCCGCCGCCGUAACAC
rnacentral:rRNA from 1 species